rnacentral:rRNA from 1 species
GAUGAACGCUGGCGGCGUGCUCAACACAUGCCAGUCGAACGGAAAGGCUCCUGCUUGCAGGGGUACUCGAGUGGCGAACGGGUGAGUAACACGUGGGUGAUCUGCCCUGCACUUCGGGAUAAGCCUGGGAAACUGGGUCUAAUACCGGAUAGGACCACAUUUUGGAUGGUGUGGUGGAAAGUUUUUCGGUGUGGGAUGAGCUCGCGGCCUAUCAGCUUGUUGGUGGGGUAAUGGCCUACCAAGGCGUCGACGGGUAGCCGGCCUGAGAGGGUGUACGGCCACAUUGGGACUGAGAUACGGCCCAGACUCCUACGGGAGGCAGCAGUGGGGAAUAUUGCACAAUGGGCGCAAGCCUGAUGCAGCGACGCCGCGUGGGGGAUGACGGCCUUCGGGUUGUAAACUCCUUUCGCUAGGGACGAAGCGCAAGUGACGGUACCUGGAGAAGAAGCACCGGCUAACUACGUG